rnacentral:rRNA from 1 species
GAGUUUGAUCCUGGCUCAGAUUGAACGCUGGCGGCAUGCCUUACACAUGCAAGUCGAACGGCAGCACGGGAGCAAUCCUGGUGGCGAGUGGCGAACGGGUGAGUAAUACAUCGGAACGUGCCCAGUAGUGGGGGAUAGCCCGGCGAAAGCCGGAUUAAUACCGCAUACGACCUGAGGGUGAAAGCGGGGGAUCGCAAGACCUCGCGCUAUUGGAGCGGCCGAUGUCGGAUUAGCUAGUUGGUGGGGUAAAGGCCUACCAAGGCAACGAUCCGUAGCUGGUCUGAGAGGACGACCAGCCACACUGGGACUGAGACACGGCCCAGACUCCUACGGGAGGCAGCAGUGGGGAAUUUUGGACAAUGGGGGCAACCCUGAUCCAGCCAUGCCGCGUGCGGGAAGAAGGCCU